GUUUGUGGCUCAGUGGUAGAGCGCUCGUCUAACACAUGAGGCCCUGGGUUCGAUCCUCAGCAUCACA
rnacentral:tRNA from 1 species